rnacentral:rRNA from 1 species
UACGAAGGAUGCAAGCGUUAUCCGGAUUCAUUGGGUUUAAAGGGAGCGUAGGUGGCCUUAUAAGUCAGUGGUGAAAUCUCUGGGCUUAACCCAGAAAUUGCCAUUGAUACUGUAGGGCUUGAGUAUAGUUGCCGUUGGCGGAAUAUGACAUGUAGUGGUGAAAUACAUAGAGAUGUCAUAGAACACCGAUUGCGAAGGCAGCUAACGAAACUAUAACUGACACUGAGGCUCGAAAGUGCGGGGAUCAAACAGG